UACGAAGGGGGCUAGCGUUGCUCGGAAUGACUGGGCGUAAAGGGCGCGUAGGCGGCACGGACAGUCAGGCGUGAAAUUCCUGGGCUUAACCUGGGGGCUGCGUUUGAUACGUUCGAGCUAGAGGAUGGAAGAGGCUCGUGGAAUUCCCAGUGUAGAGGUGAAAUUCGUAGAUAUUGGGAAGAACACCGGUGGCGAAGGCGGCGAGCUGGUCCAUUACUGACGCUGAGGCG
rnacentral:rRNA from 1 species